CUCUGCCAUCACCUUUUGAUUACUAGGUUUACUGAGCUGUGUCAGCAAUAGGCUUCAUAUUUGCCAGGUGAGACUCUGAUGGGACCACCUGCUCAAACUCCUGCCACUCUAUUUCUCCUGCCUUGAUGGACUGCACCUUGGACUGUGAUCUAAAAUAAAGCUUGUCUCCUUUAAGUUAUUCUAUCGGAAUAUUUUAACACAGCUCUUCCCUACAAUAAGCUUAAGAUGGAGCGAGCCUAAGAUAGAAGGGCAGGCUCCACAGUGGCCGAGAGUAGAGAUUAGGUUUACAGUGAGAGUGAUUAGAGAG
rnacentral:lncRNA from 1 species